rnacentral:lncRNA from 10 species
CUAGCCAUUUUUCUUAUACAGUGAGUUUUUAACAAAAUUAUAUGGGAGAGUGCACAGGCAAAGUAAUCUAUCCGUGAUUGUCCAUAGCCUGACUUCACUCUUCCUCUUCAUGCUAAAUCAGAAAUAUAAAAAUACUCAUAUUGAAGGUGUGAAGAAUAAAAAAUUCCUCUCAGUAACAUGAGAGGAAGAAUGUUCCAAAAUUAUCUAGGAGCAAACAGAAGGUCUUAAUAGAAC